AUGAACGCUAGCGGCAGGCCUAAUACAUGCAAGUCGAACGGUAAGUUGAGUAGCAAUAUUUGACCAAGAGUGACGUAAGGGUGCGUAACACGUAUGCAAUCUGCCCUGUACAGGUGAAUAGCUCGGGGAAACUCGAAUUAACACACCGUAAUAUAUUGGAGAGGCAUCUUUUUGAUAUUAAAACUGAGGUGGUACAGGAUGAGCAUGCGCAUGAUUAGUUAGUUGGCGGGGUAACGGCCCACCAAGACGAUGAUCAUUAGGGGAACUGAGAGGUUGAUCCCCCACACUGGCACUGAGAUACGGGCCAGACUCCUACGGGAGGCAGCAGUAGGGAAUAUUGGACAAUGGGUGGAAGCCUGAUCCAGCCAUGCCGCGUGCAGGAAGAAGGCCUUCUGGGUUGUAAACUGCUUUUGCCAGGGGAUAAAAAGCUCAUGCGUGAGAAAUUGAAGGUACCUGGUGAAUAAGCCACGGCUAACUACGU
rnacentral:rRNA from 1 species